UACGUAGGGAGCAAGCGUUGUUCGGAUUUACUGGGCGUAAAGGGCGCGUACGGCAGGCGAUGGCAAGUAAGGUGUGAAAUCUCCCUGCCUAACGGGGAGGGUGCAUUUUAGACUGCCAAGCUAGAGGACGGUAGAGGGGGGUAGAAUUGCUGGUGUAGCGGUGAAAUGCGUAGAGAUCAGCAGGAAUACCCGUGGCGAAGGCGGCCCCCUGGGCCGAACCUGACGCUGAGGCGCGAAGGCUAGGGGAGCGAACGGG
rnacentral:rRNA from 1 species